rnacentral:rRNA from 1 species
CUAAGUUACUUAGAGCAUACGGUGGAUGCCUGGGCACAAGGAGCCGAUGAAGGACGUGGGAGUCUGCGAUAAGCCUCGGGGAGGUGACAACCGACCUGUGAUCCGGGGAUGUCCGAAUGGGGAAACCCGCCGCUAUGAGAGUCGUGGUACCCGCCGCUGAAUGUAUAGGUGGUGUGGGGGGAACGAGGGGAAGUGAAACAUCUCAGUACCCUUAGGAAGAGAAAACAAUAGUGAUUGCGUGAGUAGUGGCGAGCGAAAGCGUAGGAGGCUAAACCAUGCUGGUGUGAGACUCGGUAGGGGUUGCUGGUGUGGGGUUGUGGGGUGCAUUUACACAAUAUCUACCGGUGUUGUGGCGUCGUGGUGUGUGGUAGGUGAAGCCUUGUGAGUGGGGCGCCAUAGUGGGUGUGAGUCCCGUAGCUGAAACUGCAUGGCCAGGCGUGGUGUUGCCCCGAGUAGGGCCGGGCUCGUGGAAUCCGGUGUGAAUCUGCCAGGACCACCUGGUAAGCCUAAAUACUUCCUUGUGACCGAUAGCGGACUAGUACCGUGAGGGAAAGGUGAAAAGUACCCCGGGAGGGGAGUGAAAGAGUACCUGAAACCGUGUGCUUACAAUCCGUCGGAGCCUUGAGGGGUGACGGCGUGCCUAUUGAAAAAUGAGCCUGCGAGUUAGUGGUCGGUGGCGAGGUUAACCUGUGUGGGGUAGCCGUAGCGAAAGCGAGUCUGAAUGGGGCGUUCAGUCGCCGGCUCUAGACCCGAAGCGAAGUGAUCUAUCCAUGGGCAGUGUGAAGCGCGGGUAAGACCGUGUGGAGGCGCGAACCCACUUCAGUUGAAAAUGGAGGGGAUGACCUGUGGAUAGGGGUGAAAGGCCAAUCAAACUUCGUGAUAGCUGGUUCUCCCCGAAAUGCAUUUAGGUGCAGCGUUGCGUGUUUCGUGCUGGAGGUAGAGCACUGGAUAGGCGAUGGGCCCCACCGGGUUACUGACCUUAGCCAAACUCCGAAUGCCGGUACGUGAGAGCGUAGCAGUGAGACUGUGGGGGAUAAGCUUCAUGGUCGAGAGGGAAACAGCCCAGAACAUCAGCUAAGGCCCCUAAGCGUGUGCUAAGUGGGAAAGGAUGUGGAGUUGCUGAGACAACCAGGAGGUUGGCUUAGAAGCAGCCACCCUUGAAAGAGUGCGUAAUAGCUCACUGGUCAAGUGAUUCUGCGCCGAUAAUGUAGCGGGGCUCAAGUACACCGCCGAAGCUGUGUCACUCCAUUUUUUGUGGGGUGGGUAGGGGAGCGUCGUGUGGCCGGUGAAGCUGCGGGGGAACCCAGUGGUGGAGGCUAUGCGAGUGAGAAUGCAGGCAUGAGUAGCGAAAGACGGGUGAGAAACCCGUCCUCCGAAUGAUCAAGGGUUCCGGGGCUAGGUUAAUCCGCCCCGGGUUAGUCGGGACCUAAGGCGAGGCCGACAGGCGUAGUCGAUGGAUAACGGGUUGAUAUUCCCGUACCGAUAGUGUGAGGACCCAUACCGAGGCGUGUGAUGCUAACCACCCGAGCUGCUGCUUCCUUCCCUUUGGGUUGGUUGUUGGUGGUGAGGCUGGGAACCGAGCGCGUAGUAGGUCAGCGUGUGGGAUGACGCAGUGAGGUAGCUUCCGCGGGGUAAUGGUUGUCCCCGUUCAAGCGAGCAGCCCGAGUGCGAGUAAUGUUGUGCUCUUGUGGGUGAGUCGUGAUGAGGACCCUUUAGUGGGGUAGGUGGGUGAUCCUGGACUGCCGAGAAAAGUUCCGGCGUGACGAGCACUAUUGCCCGUACCCUAAACCGACUCAGGUGAUCAGGUAGAGAAUACUAAGGAGUUCGAGAGAAUCGUGGUUAAGGAACUCGGCAAAAUGCCCCCGUAACUUCGGGAGAAGGGGGGCCUGAGGUGUGAGAGCACUGAUGGCCGCAGAGACCAGGGAGAAGCGACUGUUUACUAAAAACACAGGUCCGUGCGAAGACGUAAGUCGCUGUAUACGGACUGACGCCUGCCCGGUGCUGGAAGGUUAAGAGGACUGGUUAGCCCCUUUUUGGGGGCGAAGCUGAGAAUUUAAGCCCCAGUAAACGGCGGUGGUAACUAUAACCAUCCUAAGGUAGCGAAAUUCCUUGUCGGGUAAGUUCCGACCUGCACGAAUGGCGUA